UACGUAGGGGCCGAGCGUUGUCCGGAUUUAUUGGGCGUAAAGAGCGUGUAGGCGGCCGCUUAAGUCCUGCGUGAAAUCUCGGAGCUCAACUCCGAGCGGUCGUGGGAAACUGGGCGGCUAGAGUGCGGGAGAGGAGAGUGGAAUUCCUGGUGUAGCGGUGGAAUGCGCAGAUAUCAGGAAGAACACCCGUGGCGAAGGCGGCUCUCUGGAACGCAACUGACGCUGAGACGCGAAAGCGUGGGAGCAAACAGG
rnacentral:rRNA from 1 species